CAUCCUGUGCGGAAUGGCUUCGCGAUUUGCCUUCGAAGCAAAUAAAUAUUGGUUCGAGUCCAGUCGGGGUGU
rnacentral:tRNA from 1 species